GACGAACGCUGGCGGCGUGCUUAACACAUGCAAGUCGAACGGAAAGGCCCUGCUUUUGUGGGGUGCUCGAGUGGCGAACGGGUGAGUAACACGUGAGUAACCUGCCCUUGACUUUGGGAUAACUUCAGGAAACUGGGGCUAAUACCGGAUAGGAGCUCCUGCUGCAUGGUGGGGGUUGGAAAGUUUCGGCGGUUGGGGAUGGACUCGCGGCUUAUCAGCUUGUUGGUGGGGUAGUGGCUUACCAAGGCUUUGACGGGUAGCCGGCCUGAGAGGGUGACCGGCCACAUUGGGAGUGAGGUACGGCCCAGACUCCUACGGGAGGCAGCAGUGGGGAAUAUUGCACAAUGGGCGGAAGCCUGAUGCAGCAACGCCGCGUGCGGGAUGACGGCCUUCGGGUUGUAAACCGCUUUCGCCUGUGACGAAGCGUGAGUGACGGUAAUGGGUAAAGAAGCACCGGCUAACUACGU
rnacentral:rRNA from 1 species